UAGUCAGGAUUCAUUCGUUAAAGAAUGGCUCUCUCUCUCUCUCUUGAUCGAAUCCCUGAUUUCCUUCUCCAUAGAAUCUUUGGUUUAUUGAUUUCGAUUCCUAAUAUGAUCUCAGAGACUCUUGAUUUGCACUUCUAAUCGGUGGUUUGUUGAUUUCGUUUCUGAGGAGUCUCAUAUCGUCUCUCAUGACAAUUAUUUCAGUAUCCAGUAUCAACAACGGUCUCUUCAACACUGACUCUAUCUUCGAGGAACAACACCAAUGGCAACAAGAGCAAGAAUGCUAUAGCGUCAUCUACAUCUCUUCGCCAGAAAACCCUAAGUCCGAUCUCGGAAUUGAAGGAAUUGGCCUCUUCGCUCUUGGACUCUGCCAAGUGCCAUUUUGAUCGCUUGCAUUAGGAGAUCCUCAAGGACCUGGAGGCCUCUCUCUCUCACUCUCUCUCUCUCAUCUCCAUGAAUGAUUAAAGGUCCCUCUCUCUCUCUCUCUGAAAUGUUAUUGUGACGUGCUUUAAUUGCUUGAGCGAAAUUUCACCAUAGAACUACAAGUUGAGUUCUGAUUGUUCUGUCUCUAUCUCUCUGUGAGCACACACGAGUGUGUGCUCCUCUGCAUUGUUGUUGUUGUUGUUGUUGUUGUUGUUGUUGUUGUUAUUAUUAUUAUUAUUAUUGUUAUUAUUAUUAUUAUUAUUAUUUGUAAUCUCAAGUUCAUUUCUAGAAAGAAAAACUAAAUGUAGAAUGAGAGGCUGAAAUGUUAGGUUCGUUAUAUGUAAUGAUGUGAUAGUUCGAAUUUGAUGUACUAUGACUAGUUUAGAUUAAAUUUCAUGAGAUGACCAUAAUUGUCAUUGAAAUUAUGAGAUUGAUGUCUAUUACAAUGAUAUAAGAUUUUAUAUUAUUGUAAUUAAUAGGUUUUGGGUCAGGUGACCUCUCUUAGGGAGUGUAUUUGUAAUUUAACCAAAAAUAAAUAAAUAAAUAAAAUGGAGCACUUGGUAUGCAACUAGUCCAAACAGAGCAACCGAAAAAGAGGGCAACAGGGAGCAUAAUAAGCAGCCACCAGAUCAACCAACAAGUGAAUCCAAUGCCUGAGUUGUAUUGAAUCAACUAUCUACCUACCUGAAUGAGUCAAAAGACUAAUCAACUCAUUUUUAACUCUUAAGCCAUAAAUAAUUAGAUUUUUAUCCUAUCCUAUCAUAUCCCCAUUUGCUUUUGUAUUGAAGCAUGCACCUGUAUAAGAUCAGAGUGUUUUCAUUAGUAGCUGAAGCAUUGAGAAAGAGAGAAAAAAAGGAAUGGCCUACUCUUCCUCUUGGCCUAGUUUCUUUUUGUUGGUUUGACUCUUACUUGGCUUCUUAUUUGCAGACUGGGUUAACAAUAUUUGUAGCAGAUCCCAAAAUAUUGGUUUUUGCACCACAACUUUAAGGAUAAAUAAAAAAAAUUUAUUCAUGCAUGAUAUGACUACUACUCGUCACAAUUUGGGAUGAAGUCGCUAAGCACUGAUGAUGCAUCUUCAGUAUUAGAUGUUUUUGGUGGCAGCUCAAUUAACUUGAUUAAUGUGAAUUGUGUAAUUAGCCAAAGUGACCAUGCCCCAAAGAAGAGAUGGCAAAAUUGGUGAUGAUGUAGAUCAGUCACAGAUUGAUGAUGGAAGAGAUUGUAUUACCUUGCCAUAAUGUGGGAAGGUGGUGAAAUGUGUGCAAUGAAGGAGGUUACAUUAUUCUCGGAUGACGUAAAGUCAAAGGAAAGUGCAAAGCAGCUGGGACAAGGAUAUUAAAGGAGCAAAUAUCCUUGUGGACCCAAAUGGCCGUAUCAAAUUGGCUGAUUUUGGAAUGACAAAGCAUGCAACAAACAAGAACCGAUUCAACAUUCAAACACAAACCAUUUAAAUUUGGAUCUGGGCUUCAAGAGCCAUAAUGAAAACCAUGAAUCAAAUGGUGGAAACAAGGAGGCCAAGUUGGGUAGACCAAGAUCAGGUUGGUUUCGGACAUAGUUUGAUAUACUUCAACAUUAUCCCGGUCACAGAAAACAAAAGGAUGAAAAAGAAAUGACUUGUCUUUAAAUUGCUGAUUAUGGUAUUAUUCUUAUGCUUUUGAUUAUUUGAUUUUUUGCUGGAAAUGUCAAUGUCAAAUUGCUUUCUUUUGGAUGUUUGUGAUGAUAUAUUAGAAUAAUUGCUGAUAAUAAAUAAGUAUAUAUGAA